ACGGGGGAUGCAAGCGUUAUCCGGUAAUUAACUGGGUCGUAAAGCGUCUGCAGGUGGUCAUUAAAAAGUCUGCUGUUAAAUAUUAGAGCUCAAGCUCUGAGUAAGCAGUGGUAAACUGUUAGGUUUAGAGUAUGGUAUGGGUAAAGGGAACUCCCAGUGUAGCGGUGAAAUGCGUAGAUAUUGGGAAGAACACCAGUAGUCUGAAAUGCGCUUUACUAGACCAUUACUGACACUCAGAGUACUGAAAGCUAGGGGAGCAAUAUGGGAUUAUGAUAUCCCCAGUAGUCCUAUGCCGUAAACGAUGGAUACUAGAUGUUGCUGUGGUAGUCGACACCAUGCAGUAUCGUGAGCUAACGCGUUAAGUAUCCCGCCUGGGAAGUAUGCUCGCAAGAGUGAAACUCAAUAAGGAAUUGACGG
rnacentral:rRNA from 1 species